rnacentral:misc_RNA from 1 species
GAAAUGCGAUAAGUAAUGUGAAUUGCAGAAUUCAGUGAAUCAUCGAAUCUUUGAACGCACAUUGCGCCCGCCAGUAUUCUGGCGGGCAUGCCUGUCCGAGCGUCAUUUCAACCAUCAAGCCCCCGGGCUUGUGUUGGGGACCUGCGGCUGCCCGCAGGCCCUGAAAACCAGUGGCGGGCUCGCUGUCACACCGAGCGUAGUAGCAAUCACCUCGCUCAGGGCGUGCUGCGGGUUCCGGCCGUUAAACAGCCUUACAAAACCCAAGGUUGACCUCGGAUCAGGUAGGAAUACCCGCUCAACUUAAGC